UGGCUCAGAGGUUAAGAGCACUGGCUGCUAUUCCAGGGUCCUGAGUUCAAUUCUCAG
rnacentral:tRNA from 1 species